GCUUGCAGUGUUAAAGGACUUGGAAAGUGCAAGGCAGGAAAAGCUCUUUCAUCUCUACCAGUGUCAUUCCCAUCACCAGUAGGGCUAUAUGCCCAUUGUUCCCCAGUCACUCAGCAAAAGCGAGACCAUUGUAAAGUAUACAGAAUAGCCCGAUCCUGAAAAUGCUUUCUUUUUUAUUAUUGCAGACGGCUUCUACACUAAUAGGAAGUUAUAUAGCCGAGGUGGGAGACACAGAUGUUGAAAAGCAGCAGAACAUUGAUAGUACAGAGACUUUUCCCGGUAAGUAACAGCAUGUCCAGUUGGAAUCUAUAGGAGAAGACCCAGGAAACAAUCG
rnacentral:lncRNA from 1 species